rnacentral:rRNA from 1 species
AGGAGAGUUUGAUCCUGGCUCAGGAUGAACGCUAGCGGCAGGCUUAACACAUGCAAGUCGAGGGGCAUCGCGGUGUAGCAAUACACUGGCGGCGACCGGCGAAAGGGUGAGUAACGCGUGAGCAACAUACCCGGCACUGGGGGAUAGUCAUUGGAAACGAUGCGUAAUACCCCGUAAUACAUGGAGCGGCAUCGCUUCGUGUUAAGAGAUUUAUCGAUACCGGAUUGGCUCGCGUACCAUUAGCUAGUUGGCGGGGUAACGGCCCACCAAGGCGACGAUGGUUAGGGGUUCUGAGAGGAAGGUCCCCCACAUUGGAACUGAGACACGGUCCAGACUCCUACGGGAGGCAGCAGUGAGGAAUAUUGGUCAAUGGCCGAGAGGCUGAACCAGCCAUGCCGCGUGCGGGAAGACGGCCCUAUGGGUUGUAAACCGCUUUUGUCGGGGAGCAAUAAGUCUUACGAGUAAGAUGAUGAGAGUACCUGGCGAAUAAGCAUCGGCUAACUCCGUGCCAGCAGCCGCGGUAAUACGGAGGAUGCAAGCGUUAUCCGGAUUUAUUGGGUUUAAAGGGUGCGUAGGCGGGAUUUUAAGCGUGAGGUGAAAUGCCACGGCUCAACCGUGGAACUGCCUCGCGAACUGGGAUUCUUGAAUGCCCCUGCCGUGGGAGGAAUGUGUGGUGUAGCGGUGAAAUGCAUAGAGAUCACACAGAACACCGAUUGCGAAGGCAUCUCACGAAGGGGUGAUUGACGCUGAGGCACGAAAGCGUGGGGAUCAAACAGGAUUAGAUACCCUGGUAGUCCCCU